CGCUUUCGCUAGGGGUCCUGGAAACGUACAUACUGUUUCCGGGUGAGAGAUACCCUUCGUACCUGAUCUGGAUAAUGCCAGCGAAGGAAAGCGCAAAGUUUCUUCC
rnacentral:ncRNA from 2 species